GGCUUGUGGUCAGCAACAUUAACUGUGUUUGCCAUCUCAUCCAACUGACCAGUGAAAGACUGGAUAUUAGGAAACUGGAUAUUGGGACAGACUGAAGUGACAAAUAACUAUCACCCAAGUCUCUGCACUGGACCGGAAGUUUCCUGACCUCACCACUACUGAUUGGACUUCUGAUGUCGUCAUAACCAGGAGAAUGAAGGAACAUAUCCAGAUGUCCUGCGGACGAUGAGAGACAAUGCGUCAGCAGUAAGACGCCUCACCUAUACCGUCAUCUUUUGGAAAGCGAAAGCAGAACAAAGGUUUAUUUGGUCAGGGGAAAACUACCUCUGUCCCUGGCUGUCAUAUACAAGAACUGCGGACGUUUAAUGAGCAGAGGAUAAAGCAUCCAGGAUCUUACCUGCAGAAGACGGGACAGUCGUUAAAACAGGGAGACUUUCCAGAAGAUGCAGGAGAUGCUGAAGCGAGCGAGGGGUUCGGGCCGCUGCUGUGAGUGGUUCUCUGGCAGUGUCUUAGCUGGUUGUUGUGUGGAGUGAGAACGAAGCAAUCAGCAAGUAUACUGCCGCAGAAACUCGUCACCUUUAAAAGCCCAUUCAUCCAUCCAGUCAACCCCGCUCGAGCAUUCAGAGCCUGGAGAGAGAUGAGAAAAGACAGAUCUAGAGUCUGUGCAUGUUAUCAAGCUUCCCGUCUCAUUCAUUCUUCUAAUCGUGAGUGUCUGCUUUUGUUUCGUCUUUGCUGUUACAAAAUGUAGCCUGAGUCAUUUCAUUAGUGUUGAAAUUGAUUCAUGCUUACUGUAG
rnacentral:lncRNA from 1 species